UACGGAGGGUGCAAGCGUUAAUCGGAAUUACUGGGCGUAAAGCGUGCGCAGGCGGUUUGUUAAGUCUGUUGUGAAAUCCCCGAGCUCAACUUGGGAAUUGCAAUGGAUACUGGCAGGCUGGAGUAUGGUAGAGGAAGGUGGAAUUCCCGGUGUAGCAGUGAAAUGCGUAGGUAUCGGGAGGAACACCAGUGGCGAAGGCGGCCUUCUGGACCAAUACUGACGCUCAUGCACGAAAGCGUGGGGAGCAAACAGG
rnacentral:rRNA from 1 species